rnacentral:lncRNA from 1 species
UAAGGUUCAAGAAGUAAAUAAUAUGCAAAUGAAAACCAUACAUUACAUAAAUAAGUCAUUCAUGUCUUAGUAGAAUACAUAUUUGAGUGCUUCAUUGCCUAUUGAGUUACAACAACUAUUAAUAGCCAUAUUAGGAUCCAUUACUUUUUAAGUCAAAAGAAUAAUAGAUCAUAAUAUAAUUCAAAACACAUUGUCUAAGCAAUGAAGUCAGGCACCAAGGCAAUGAACAAAAGAUUUAACAAAAGUCCAGAAUGAGGGCAUAUCAGUCUUGCUUAGGCUUAGCUUUCUUUGCUGGGCUGUCUUUGAUAUUGCCAGCUUUUGUUGCACGUUUAGGAGGAGUGUCUGUCAGGAAAGCUUCAUUUUGAGAUGGACUUUCUGGAAACUCAAGGCUUCUUUUUGUACGUACAGAAAAUGAAGACCAUGAGGAGAACAGCAAGCAGACCUGGAUGUAUUGGAAGAAAGUAAGGAAGAAACCACAGUUCUAGGGGUAAAGGAUUGUUGCCACUCCAGUCAUAAGCCCCAAGUACCUAAAUUAGAAAGAUAAAAACACCUUACCACCAAACACUUCAACUAACUAUUUUUAGUAAUUCAAUAUACUUGUUUCGUGUUCAAUUAGCCAAUUGGUGAAAACAUAUAAGUAAUUCUAGUGAAUUUUGUCCAAAAAGUGAGAUUACUUCGAAAUUCUUUUUCAUAUUAUUCCUAAAAAAUUCAUUUUAAUAAACUUUUUAUCUUUUUAAACAAAUAUCGUGUCACAAAAACUGUGCUAAUGAAAGACUUAUGUCAUUGAAUACCAAAAACGUGGACUACCACAUGCACACUUCUUGCUAAUUUUAAAGUCAAAAUUCAAGAUGUAUACCCCUGAAGAAUAUGAUAAAAUUGUCUGUGCUGAGAUACCAAAUAAAGAGAAGAAUGAACAUCUAUAUAAUUUGGUCAUUAAACAUAUGCUUCAUGGACCAUGUGGUUCACUUGAUCCAACAAGUGUAUGCAUGAGAAAAAAUGGAACUUGCAAGCACUACUUUAAUAACCCAAACUAUAAUAACACUAAAUUAUCUAAUUUUUCAAUACAUAAACAGCUAACAACAUCAUGCAGCAUUUGAAAUUAAAAAAGAGGGAAAAAUAAACAUAAGCUAAUCCGAAAAAUAACCAUCAUAGCAUAACAUCAAACACAUGGAGGUCGUUAAUUAACGGAAGGCAAUAGACAGAUGCAACAACAAUGAAAUUUAAAAAUUGCAGUUCAAAAUAGAAGGAGAGAAAAUAGAAACAUACCUAUAUUUUCUUUGCUCGGCUGAAUGUUGGCAAAAGUCGGGCAACAUUUGAAAUCAAUAAAAACAAAGAAAAAAAGUAAACAUAAGUUAAUCGAUAAAUUACCAUCAUAAUCACUCUUUUAUGCAUAAUAUGAAACACAUGACAGUGUCUAAUUAACGGAAGUCAAUGAUAAACAGGAGGGAAGAACAUUCAAACUAAAAAACUUGCAACUCAAAAAUAGGAAGAGAGAAAAUAGAAACAUACCUAGAUUUUGUUUGCUCCUCUUCUGAAUACCGGCAAAAGUGGGAAACAAAGGUAUAUAUAAGGCUGGAAAUAGUAAGUUCUCAAAGCUGUACAUGGAUGAUAACUCGGUACAGUAGCCAUACCUAAAAUAAGCUGUUUUUUGGGAGAAAAGAAGAAUUCACGUGGAUGAGGAGGAUUUUUUGGAAGUGAAUCGAAAGGAAGUACAAUUAGUUGCUGGAGCAAUUGGCAGAAAACUGAAAAUUUUGCAGGCUCGCAGAUUUUGGGGAAAAGAAAUUUCAGUGGCCUAAUUUUUGGGGUAAAACAAAAAUUCACGUGCGUGCGGAGGAAUUUGUGGAUUGCAAUCAAAAGGAAGGACGAUUAGUUGUUGAAGGAAUUGGUUGAAAAUUGAAGAUUUUGCAGGCUCAUAUAGCUGGCUACUAAUCGGCGGAAAGGAAGAGGCUACGCGACGCAAAGAA